UACGUAGGGUGCAAGCGUUGUCCGGAAUUAUUGGGCGUAAAGAGCUCGUAGGCGGUCUGUUGCGUCGGCUGUGAAAACCUGGGGCUUAACUCUGGGCGUGCGGUCGAUACGGGCAUCACUGGAGUUCGGCAGGGGAGACUGGAAUUCCUGGUGUAGCGGUGAAAUGCGCAGAUAUCAGGAGGAACACCGGUGGCGAAGGCGGGUCUCUGGGCUGAAACUGACGCUGAGGAGCGAAAGCGUGGGGAGCAAACAGG
rnacentral:rRNA from 1 species